AUUGAACGCUGGCGGCAUGCUUUACACAUGCAAGUCGAACGGUAACAGGCCGCAAGGUUCUGACGAGUGGCGGACGGGUGAGUAAUGCAUCGGAACGUAUCCAGUCGUGGGGGAUAACUACUCGAAAGAGUAGCUAAUACCGCAUACGAUCUAUUGCUGCAAGCGGGGGACCGUAAGGCCUCUUGCGAUUGGAGCGGCCGAUGUCAGAUUAGGUAGUUGGUGGGGUAAAGGCUCACCAAGCCAACGAUCUGUAGCUGGUCUGAGAGGACGACCAGCCACACUGGAACUGAGACACGGCCCAGACUCCUACGGGAGGCAGCAGUGGGGAAUUUUGGACAAUGGGCGCAAGCCUGAUCCAGCAAUGCCGCGUGCAGGAAGAAGGCCUUCGGGUUGUAAAGUGCUUUUGUACGGAAAGAAACGGCGCUGGUUAAUACCCGGGGCUAAUGACGGUACCGAAAGAAUAAGCACCGGCUAACUACGUG
rnacentral:rRNA from 1 species